AGCGCGCGAAUCCUGCACCGCGUGAUCCAGUCUACGAUCGCACGUAGGGCGGCGUGGAACGCAUUCCUAGAUCCGAGUGAUCUUCAAGAAUCGGAAGCUCAAAGUGUUUUCAUGUAAUAACGUUUACAAUCGGAAAUAGAUUACCAAUCGAUUAUAACGGCAAUAAUUCGCAAUUAGUUCGUGAUAAUCCGAGUAUAUUCGACUCUCCAUACCAGUAAAAAAAAAUGCCAAACGCGGGACACGAGACGACGAACCUUCUGAUGACGUAUUUCAUCCUUAUUCUUCUAUUAAUCUCGCUUUGGGUAUUGUACUCGGGAUUGUUUUUUUAAGCACAACAGACAUUCCUCACCAUGGGCUGAACAACAAGAGAAAACAUGUGUCGAAAGGCGGAUGCAUUCAGAGGAUCCAAGAUCGUCACGGACACCUCGUUCGGAGCUCACCAGUUCUCACCUACUAUAUAUUUUCUACAAUUUAGGCGCCUGGAGACAUGUUCUACGCAAAUCACCUUUGACUGUUUAGCGACCGAUUUCCACGACGGAAAUGAUCUAAAAAUAUAUUUACCGGGUCAUAGGAAGAAUUUCAAAAGUUUGUUCCCUGCCUCGCUUCAAUUUCUUGCCACUUCGUCGUGAAAAUCGGCUUAUCGACACCAAUUAUAUCUUCCCCGUUAAUUAGCUAUGAAUACAUUGUCUUGAAUGCAAAACAAUAUUUAUUAUCUCACGAGCGUGAUCUACAGUCUAUAAUUCGCAUCGUCGUUGAAUUGUGCUCAUUUGAAGUCAUCGAAAUAAAUAUAUCAGUUUGUUUCA